AUUGAACGCUGGCGGCAGGCCUAACACAUGCAAGUCGAACGAGUGGCGGACGGGUGAGUAAUAUCUGGGAAACUGCCUGCUGGAGGGGGAUAACUACUGGAAACGGUAGCUAAUACCGCAUACCAUCAGAUGUGCCCAGAUGGGAUUAGCUAGUUGGUGGGGUAACGUCUCACCAAGGACACGAUCCAUAGCUGGUAUGCGAGGAAGACCACCCACCCGGGUACUGAGACACGGCCCAGCCUCCUACGUGAGGCAGCAGUGGGGAAUAUUGCACAAUGGGCGCAAGCCUGAUGCAGCCAUGCCGCGUGUAUUAUGAAGGCCUUCGGGUUGUAAAGUACUUUUAGCAGGGAAGCGUUACCCGCAGAAUAAGCACCGGCUAACUCCGUGCCAGCAGCCGCGGUAAUUC
rnacentral:rRNA from 1 species